rnacentral:rRNA from 1 species
GAUGAACGCUGGCGGCGUGCCUAAUACAUGCAAGUCGAGCGAAUUGACAGAGGUGCUUGCACCUCUCGAUUUUAGCGGCGGACGGGUGAGUAACACGUGGGUAACCUACCUAUAAGACUGGGAUAACUUCGGGAAACCGGAGCUAAUACCGGAUAAUAUUUAGCUUCGCAUGAAGCAAUAGUGAAAGACGGUUCUGCUGUCACUUAUAGAUGGACCUGCGGUGUAUUAGCUAGUUGGUGAGGUAACGGCUCACCAAGGCAACGAUACAUAGCCGACCUGAGAGGGUGAUCGGCCACACUGGGACUGAGACACGGCCCAGACUCCUACGGGAGGCAGCAGUAGGGAAUCUUCCGCAAUGGACGAAAGUCUGACGGAGCAACGCCGCGUGAGUGAAGAAGGUUUUCGGAUCGUAAAACUCUGUUGUAAGGGAAGAACAAGUACGUUAGUAGCUGAACGUACCUUGACGGUACCUUACCAGAAAGCCACGGCUAACUACGUGCCAGCAGCCGCAGUAACAC